UCAAUGAGAGUUAUUACCGGAUACCUCGGUGGUAACAAAACGUGUAUCGUUGAGUUGUAUUACGGUACAAAAGUUGAGUUUGUGAACAUGGAAAGUUUCAGAGCUCCGUUAGUUUUGUAUGCUAGCUUUGCCUUACCGACUGGGCUUCUCUGAGCGGCAAAGACAACGCAAAAAAACCGAAAAAGAAACACCUACUGACCGUGGUCCUCAACUCCGAGACUCCACCAGCAUCACCAGUACCUGAAGAUCGGCGAGGAGCGGCGCUGAGCGCCACGCAGAGCCGGUAUCUCUCGCGUCGAGUUGCAGAGGCCAUGCAGUCUGACUUUCUGUUAGAAAUUCAGGAGCAAAGUGAGGAGCCCGAAUGUUGACAUUCUAUUUUAUAUGGAUCACCUUGGAGACGGAGAGCGCAUGACGGGGAUUGUUCUGACAGAUGACACAAAAACACUCAAGUUUCAGAGCUCCGCCACAGACUCCGCUAGCUUUGUAUGCUAGCCUACCAGACUAAGCUUCUCUGAGCGGAAAACGCAAAAGCUGUCUACAAAAACCGAAAAAGAAAAAGAAAUACCUGCUGACCGUGGUCCUCAACUCCCAGACUCCACCAGCAUCACCAGGAGCAGCUCCUCAUGUGAUUCUCCAGUCAACACCAAGUUGAAGAAGAGGAGAGGAAAUAACAAAGCUGAAAAGACAAACAACCUAAACAGCAAUGUUUUUUGUUUUUGAUGAACUCAUACCUCACAUUAUGUUCAACAGUAUUUCGCUCCAGGUAAUGAUGUACUAAGCCUUGUUCCUGAACUGAUAUGUAGUGUGCUUGACAGUAUGGGAACAGUGUCACAAUCAGAGAUCAGAUUUAUGCUGCUCCAUCCCUUAAUGUCUGUUAAAGCUAUUAAAGCAUUAGUUCAUAACAUUAGAGCUAAGAAAAUGUAGGCCAUGCUGUUAGACAAUUAAAAAAAAAAAAGAUCAGCAGUACUUAUGUUUAUUGCUGUGCUUCAAUACAGAGAAAUUCUGUGUGAGAAGUAAAUAAAACCAUAAUUCAUUACUUUUAUUUUGGCUGAUUACAUUCCUCACUUAAAACAUGAAAUUGUGAAAAUGGGAAGUUUCAUCAGUGAUUCAGGAGAAUAUUUGCUGCCCUUCAGCUGGUAGAUCUCCACCUCCCUUCCUCCAGUCAGUAGUUCAGGUCUGCAGCCCAAAGGUGACUGACCUGCUGAGAUGCAGAGUGACAUGUUGAACUGUCAUCAAGCCUCUCUAGAUUGUAAAACGUUAGGACUAACCAAUGUAACACCCAAAUCUACCCAUUUACUGCUAUUGAUAACAACAAAAUAAAAUAAAAUAAAAUAAAGCCUUCUUCACAUUGAGAACCCAGAUAACUUGGUGAGAUUCAUGUACAUUAUACAAUUUUACUAACAAAUUACAGCAAUAUGUAGCCUAAAAUCUGUUUGCCCUAUUUCUGUUUUUUUUUUUUUUUUGACAUGAUAUUAAUUUCUUAGGUGACGCAUAGUUGCAACUUUGUUAUGUUUUAUUGCCCUCACCUAUGAAAUUAAAUAGCCUCCACCCCUGUUGUUGUUAGGAGAGGCUUCCUUUGGUGUGAGUGGCCACAGUCUGAGCCAGCAAGCUGCAGCAUUUUCUCUGAAUAUCCCUGAGAAAUCUUAUUUUAUUUAUCUCAGCUACUGUACAAACAAGUCUGUUGUUGUUUAUUAUGCUGUGCAUUUGCACUUAUUUAUUUUAAUACAUCCUGUCCUAGCAGUUACGUGGAAAAUUAUUCAGAUAGUGAUUUUUGUACUGGUCUAUGUUUUUUAUUAUAAAAGAAAUAAAGCUGUGAUGGAUUAGCAA